rnacentral:lncRNA from 1 species
UAUGUAUAUAUUAUAUUGCUGUACCAAAUGAAGUCAUAAUGCAAACAGAAUGCUCACAGCAGGAAUAGUUAUUCUUGGGCAGAUCUGGACAUGCCCCCCAGCCUCUACAAACAGAGGAAGCCCUCCUCCCCAAAGUUUGUGAAAAGUAGGAGGGAGAGUCUAUUUCCAGCUAUGGAAUCAAGGUCAGAAGCAGAAGUUCCAGUCCUUGCUAGGAUUCUGUCCUCCCGUAUACUCUGCGAAAACUGCUAUCAAGGGGCAACCUCUAUCCAAGUCAAACCCGAAGAUUUCACUCUUGGGUGCAAUUUGGAUGUUCCUCUCAUCCUGAGCUACAACCACCCAAAGAAUGGUAUCAGACAGGCGGUCUUUCUUUUCUUUCUCUCUCUCUUUCUACACCCCCCUCUUUCCCCGCUUCAUUCCUCUGUGUCUAUAAAGCAGAAUUUCACAUACAGUGUGCCUUACUCCAGUAGUCUGCUGGUUAUUCAGCCGCAGCAACUGGUUACAACUGGUUUUAG